UCGACCUCAGAUCAGGUAGGAGUACCCGCUGAACUUAAGCAUAUCAAUAAGCGGAGGAAAAGAAACCAACAGGGAUUGCCCCAGUAGCGGCGAGUGAAGCGGCAAGAGCUCAGAUUUGAAAUCGUGCCAAUUUUUUUGGCACGAGUUGUAGAGUGUAGGCGGGAGUCUUUGUGGAGCACGGUGUCCAAGUCCCUUGGAACAGGGCGCCUGAGAGGGUGAGAGCCCCGUGGGGUGUCGUGCGAAGCUUUGAGGCCCUGCUGACGAGUCGAGUUGUUUGGGAAUGCAGCUCCAAGUGGGUGGUAAAUUCCAUCUAAGGCUAAAUACUGGCGAGAGACCGAUAGCGAACAAGUACUGUGAAGGAAAGAUGAAAAGCACUUUGAAAAGAGAGUGAAACAGCACGUGAAAUUGUUGAAAGGGAAGGGUAUUGGGCCCGACAUGGGGAGUGCGCACCGCUGUCUCUUGUAGGCGGCGCUCUGGGCGCUCUCUGGGCCAGCAUCGGUUCUUGCUGCGGGAGAAUGGGUGCCGGAAAGUGGCUCUUCGGAGUGUUAUAGCCGGCGCCAGAUACCGCGUGCGGGGAC
rnacentral:rRNA from 1 species